AGGAACAAAGGGAGAAAUCUACCCAAGGAGGGGAUCACGUCUGAUUAGCUAGUUGGUGAGGUAAUAGCUUACCAAUCCAAUGAUAAGUGCUUGGUCGAGAGGAUGAUCAUCCAUACUGGGGAUGAGAGACGACCCAGACUCCUACUGAAA
rnacentral:ncRNA from 1 species